rnacentral:lncRNA from 1 species
AAACACAAAAUGGAUAUCAAAUGUGCCUAGGUGGACCACCAAAACAAAGAUACCAUUAGGGAUGCCUUAUGCCUUGUAUUCCACCAAAUAUCAUUUACAAAAGGGUUUUCAUAAAAAUAUAUAUAUAAAGGUCCUUAAAGAAUCAAAGCUUUUCUUUAUCCGCUCGCUCUCUUCUCAAAGCUCGCACCCUCGCUCGCACGCACGCUCUCUCUCUCUCUCUCUCUCUCUCUCUCUCUCUCUCUCUCACAGAUCGAUACUGGUAGAUCUUCAACUUGUUUUAAUUUAUUUAGUUGGAAUUUUCUGUAAUUUUAAUUCAUCGUUAACUUAACUCUCUCUCACAGAUCGAUAUAGGUAGAUCUUCAACUUGUUUUAAUUUAGUUAGUUGUAAAUUGUAAUUUUCUGUAAUUUUGAUUCAUCGUUAACUUAACUGAUAGAUUUUCAACUUGUUUUCGAUUAUCAAUCAAUUCAUUUUAUAAUUUUGCUAUUAUGGUAUUAAUUUUGAAUACUUCUUCAAGAAUAGUGCAAACAUGUUAGGGUUUACACUUUCUUAAUUAAAUUCGAACUUAGGGUUUCGAAAUUCUUGAUUUAUAUCAGUUUAUUGUUUGUUUUAGAUUGAAAACCUUGUUUGUUUGCUUUAUUAGCAAAUCUUGGGUUCAUAGUGUUUGUAAUUUAAUGUUUGUUACUAUUUGGUAAGAAGUGUGAAGUAUGAACCCACAAGAAUAUCUGUAUACUGGUGUCUAGAUGCAUUGUUGAUGCUAAUGUUAGUCUUGUCAAGAGAAAUGAAUGUCUAAACAAGAUAUAAUACUGUUCCUAUAAAGCAUCUGACCAGUUUAUGCGCCCCUUUAAUCGUAUAGGGUGGAAUCAAAUUUCUCCUAUAUGUUACGAACUACUUUACUACUUAGAUAUGAUAACUUUCAAGAUUAUUAACAAUUGGUAUCCCACCCAAAGUAAAAUUUAACCUGUCAAUGAUUCCUAUUACAGUGAAGAUCUACAGCUUAAAUUUGAAGUUUUAUUGGUGGAAAUUUGUUGUAGCCUCAGUGGCUUCUAGAGUUUAGUAUAUCAUGUAUCUAUGGUGGAAAUUUGUUGUAGCCUCAGUGGCUUCUAGAGUUUAGUAUAGCAGGUAUCUACAGUGGGCAUUGCUUUGUUUUUGUAAUUUUACGAGGUUCACGAAUAUUAGAUAUCCACAUUGCCUAAAUAUUUGGAAGAGGACUGGAGAAGCAUGGCAAGAAAAUUCUUGUCCCCUGCAUUUUUUUCUUAGUACAUUGCAUUCUUCCUUGCAGUUCUUUCCCCGACAGAUGAAAUGUGUCUCUCAGGUCUGAUACCUAACUGCAAUAAAACUAGGUUUGUUUUGUGGGAGGAGAGUAAUAAACAUGUGUUUGGAAAUUUCAUACUUAAGCCUACUAUUAGAGUUACUUAAGCCUACUAUUAAGCAGAGUGUAUUACUACUAAAAUUAGCCGAGUGUUUUUAAAGUUUAAACAACCAAUGGGUUUCAAGCAUUUUUCUCUUCAUUAUAAGAUCAAGAGUUUAAAAUAAAUUAUGCAGAUAUGGUAGUUGAAGUUGUUAUCGAGGAGGGAGAAUUGAGAUCCUCACAUUAGUAGAUCCAGGGGACUUAGAGAUUUCCAUAAUAUCUUUUUGAUCAGCAGAGAUUUCCAUAGUAUCGCUUCGCCUAGCAGCACGUUAUUCAAUAUUAAUUAAAGAUCUUGUGAAGUUUUUUCCUUCAACAAGUACACAAUUUAUGCCUCCAAUAGAUCUAUUGAUACUUAACUAAAGCUGUUACUGUCUUUACAGAUUCCUGAAAUGUCUACCAAGAACAAGAGUUCCAAAAUUGAAAGAAAGGCCGAAGGACCUUUCUUCUGUUCUUACUGCUUCAAGGCGUGCGAUUUCAAAGGUGCACCAGCUACCCAUUCAGUUAGAGCACACUCAAAUUUGGAUAUAGAGUG